GGAGUAGCGUGGCCGAAUGGUUACGCUGUCCGCUUUGUAAGCGGAUGAUACUGGGUUCGAUUUCCAUCUGCUCCA
rnacentral:tRNA from 1 species